CUACGUGCCAGCAGCCGCGGUAAUACGUAGGGCGCGAGCGUUGUCCGGAAUUAUUGGGCGUAAAGAGCUUGUAGGCGGUUUGUCGCGUCUGCUGUGAAAGGCCGGGGCUUAACCCCGUGUAUUGCAGUGGGUACGGGCAGACUAGAGUGCAGUAGGGGAGACUGGAAUUCCUGGUGUAGCGGUGGAAUGCGCAGAUAUCAGGAGGAACACCGAUGGCGAAGGCAGGUCUCUGGGCUGUAACUGACGCUGAGAAGCGAAAGCAUGGGGAGCGAACAGGAUUAGAUACCCUGGUAGUCCAUGCCGUAAACGUUGGGCACUAGGUGUGGGGGACAUUCCACGUUUUCCGCGCCGUAGCUAACGCAUUAAGUGCCCCGCCUGGGGAGUACGGCCGCAAGGCUAAAACUCAAAGAAAUUGACGGGGGCCCGCACAAGCGGCGGAGCAUGCGGAUUAAUUCGAUGCAACGCGAAGAACCUUACCAAGGCUUGGCAU
rnacentral:rRNA from 1 species